rnacentral:rRNA from 1 species
GACGUAGGAUGCGAGCGUUGUCCGGAUUCAUUGGGCGUAAAGAGUUCGUAGGCGGUUUGUUAAGUCUGGUGUUAAAGGCCGGGGCCCAACCCCGGAGGUGCAUUGGAUACUGGCAGACUUGAGUGCGGUAGAGGCGAGUGGAAUUCCCAGUGUAGCGGUGAAAUGCAUAGAUAUUGGGAAGAACACCGGUGGCGUAGGCGACUCGCUGGGCCGUAACUGACGCUGAGGAACGAAAGCCAGGGGAGCGAAUGGG